UUAAUGUAUGAAAGGAAAAUAGUGCUUCCCUUAACAAGGGUGAAAAAGAUUUCAGCUUCCAACAGGCAUACUAUUACUGCAUUGCCACUUAAUUUAAGGCAUCUAAAAAUACUUUAUUUUU